UUUUUUCAACUUGGAUCAAAAACCGUUGUUUCCCGAUGGGGGAGGGAGCGGCGUAUUUGCAGAAGAGGAGUGAGAAACGGCCCAUGCUCCUCCCUUUCCCGGUAUGUUUCUCUCUCUCUCUCUCUCUACUAAAUUGUGACAUUGUAACCCUUCAAGAUCUCUUUCUCUCUACCAGCUCCACUGUUUCCUUUCCUUUACCAGUCACAAAUCUCCCUCUCCAUCUUCAAUGGUGUUUCUAUAACGUCUUCGAAGUAAUGGCUUUGGAAAAACUCCAGGCACUCUCUCUCUUGAAACCCCACUAUGUAUUUUCCCUUCUCAUUCCUUUUCCUUCUUUCUCUUCUUCCUUUGAACUCUAUUCCACAAAAACCUCUCUUCUCACUCCGUCUCCUUCUCUCACUGGACAUGGACUUCUCUUAAGUGCUUCUCCUCCUUCUUCUUCUUCUUCAAUUGUUAAUCUUCUAAUGGACUCACUUGGCCUCUCUAAAGAAUCAGCCUUGGCCGUUGCCUCUUCUUCCCGGUUGGGCCUCAAUAAACCCACCAAAAAUCCGAUAUGUGUGCUAAAAUUCCUCAAAGACUCUGGUUUUCAUGAUGCCCAUAUCUGUUCCAUUGUAACGAAGAGCCCCAAGAUUCUUGUGGCCAAUGUUGAGAAAACCCUAAAACCCAAGUUUGAAAUGCUCGAAGAUUUGGGUCUCUCUGGUCCUGAUCUCGGGGCGUUUCUAUCUCCACGUGCAUUCAUCGUCUAUUACAGUGCAGAGAAGAGGAUCGCCCCAACCAUUGAAUUCCUCAAAAGCUAUUUGAAAACCAAUGAAAAUGUUCUUAGAGUUCUGAGAAAUAGUUGGACGCUUUCAUUUCCCAUUGAGGAAAGAAUCCUACCCAAUAUGAGGUGCAUGGAGAGCUAUGGAGUUGGUCCCUCACAACUGCAACAAUUGACAAUCGUCCGGCCUAGGUUGCUUUCUCAUAACCCCAAAAGACUUAAGGAAAAUUGUGAGAAAAUUAUAGAGAUGGGCUUUAAUCCGAAUUCUUUGAUGUUUGCUCAUGCUCUUCAUGCAUUCAGCUCGAUGAAUAAGGAGACAUGGCAGGCAAAAGUUGACAUUUUUAAGAGUUUUGGGUGCUCGGAAGAUCAUGUAUUUUCAAUGUUUCGGAGGGCACCUUAUACAAUGUCUCUCUCGGUGAAGAAGUUGAAGGAAACAAUGGAGUAUUUUGUUAACAAACAAAAGGAUGUUUUGUUCCAUUUGAUUAUGAAUCCAAAAAUUUUUGGUUAUAGCUUGGGGGGAAGGGUGAUACCGAGGAACAAUGUUUUGCAAGCUUUGAGAUCGAAGAAGUUGCUCAAGAAGGAUGUGAAAUUAUCAUCAGUUUGUUUGUUGUCGGAGAGGAUAUUCUUGCAAAAAUUUGUGGGGUGUUUUGGAGAAGAGGCAGAUUACUUGCGCCGGAUCUAUGAAGAAAGCAAGGGCAACCCAGAAAUGAUUCUAUGAUCAUGGGUUCCAUGGAGGCUUCCUUGCUUUUUGAUUGUUGAAUCAAAGCUAGGGGCAGAAAUUGAUCUGAAGAACAUCACAAGGUUCUCAAGUGUUGCAUCUAAUUUCUAGUACACCAUUUUGAGUAAAUCAGAUAAAAAAUUCAAAAGCACGGAAGAAGGCAUUGAACCCACAAAGAAAAUGAGAACAAAACUCUAGACUGUUGUGGAACUUUGCUUUUGGCUUUCCUUAUGACCGACGCUUGUGCUUCUCUACCUUUUUUACUUCAUAAUCCUUGUAUUAAUGGUUCAAGUUGGAGAGUUAAUCCAUUCUGAACUUUUGUAUCAUUCACUUAAUGAUUAAUGAAUCUUGAAUGGAACACGAUUUUUGUAGCCCCCACCCCCCACCCCCCCAAAAGAUUUGGGAUAAAGCUCGGAUGUAUCAUUCAUUUAAUGACAACAAAACUGUUUUUACACUUGAGGAUGUGCUAUUGACAACUUUAAAAAAAAAAAAGGAUGUACUGUUGGCCUUUUUAUUUGAACUUUUUGAGUUUUGAAAUAGAUAUAAGCACAUUAAACAUCUAAUGGACACACUAAAUGCAAGUGCUGCAUCAAAUUAGCUGAUUUUGGAUAUCUAAACAAUUUAACUGUGCAAAAAUCGGAUGGUCUGUCUUUUUAGAGAACUGUGCAAAAAUCGGAUAGUCCCUAUGCAAUAUUUUGACAUCAAAAUUUCGAAGCAUUUACAAAGUCUGAUUAACCUUUUUUCUAUUGGAUGGAUUGCU